rnacentral:rRNA from 1 species
AGAGUUUGAUCAUGGCUCAGGACGAACGCUGGCGGCGUGCCUAAUACAUGCAAGUAGAACGCUGACUACUUUAGCUUGCUAGAGUAGAAGGAGUUGCGAACGGGUGAGUAACGCGUAGGUAACCUGCCUACUAGCGGGGGAUAACUAUUGGAAACGAUAGCUAAUACCGCAUAACAGUGUUUAACACAUGUUAGAUGCUUGAAAGAUGCAAAUGCAUCACUAGUAGAUGGACCUGCGUUGUAUUAGCUAGUUGGUGGGGUAACGGCCUACCAAGGCGACGAUACAUAGCCGACCUGAGAGGGUGAUCGGCCACACUGGGACUGAGACACGGCCCAGACUCCUACGGGAGGCAGCAGUAGGGAAUCUUCGGCAAUGGGGGCAACCCUGACCGAGCAACGCCGCGUGAGUGAAGAAGGUUUUCGGAUCGUAAAGCUCUGUUGUAAGAGAAGAACGUGUGUGAGAGUGGAAAGUUCACACAGUGACGGUAACUUACCAGAAAGGGACGGCUAACUACGUGCCAGCAGCCGCGGUAAUACGUAGGUCCCGAGCGUUGUCCGGAUUUAUUGGGCGUAAAGCGAGCGCAGGCGGUUUAAUAAGUCUGAAGUUAAAGGCAGUGGCUUAACCAUUGUUCGCUUUGGAAACUGUUAAACUUGAGUGCAGAAGGGGAGAGUGGAAUUCCAUGUGUAGCGGUGAAAUGCGUAGAUAUAUGGAGGAACACCGGUGGCGAAAGCGGCUCUCUGGUCUGUAACUGACGCUGAGGCUCGAAAGCGUGGGGAGCAAACAGGAUUAGAUACCCUGGUAGUCCACGCCGUAAACGAUGAGUGCUAGGUGUUAGGCCCUUUCCGGGGCUUAGCGCCGCAGCU